GGUUGCGUGGCCCAGUGGUUAAGGCAUCUGCUUUACAGUUCGUAAAAUGGAUUGAAUCGCAGAGGAUCGCAGGUUCGAGCCCUGCCGCGAUCA